rnacentral:lncRNA from 1 species
AUGAGACCACAUCCCAAGGUGGAUGGUCUUUUUACGUGUCAUGGAGCGUUUGCCGCCAUGCGAAUUGCGUGUCGUGUUAGUUUUUAUUUUUUAUUUUUUAUUUUGUAUUACGAGGGUAGGGGAUAUUCGAAUUUGGAACCUCUUCCAACAUUGAGAAGAGAAACACGAACAAACCAAGUGCUACUACUCGGUGCAUGUCGUGCUAGGUUGCUUGGUGAUCUGAAAUUUAUGACUAAAUGCCAUUUUAUUAGUCUUAGGUGA